UAAACGAUUGAAUUAAGAUUGAACGUGCAUGUGUGGAAAGAUGAUCUGGAGAAAAUUUUAGCUGACAUUCUUCUUGGGGAGGUGAUGUUAGACUGUGAGUGGAUAUCCUGUUGUGAAGAGGAAGACGAGGUUGCGGUGUCAGCGACGGCUAAUGAAGCACGUAGAGGAAUUUCUGGCGAAACAUGCAUAGAGACUAGAGGGAAGCUUUGCAUCUGUGUCCAGACAUAAACAUGAUUUGCUUAGCUUGGAAUCCUGCAUCAUUAUUGGAGGAAAUAGCCAUGGCUCUUAAACAGUGGGGAAUAUAAUUGAUUUGGCAUUUCGCAUAUUUACAUAUAUUACAUAUAUCCCGCAUGUAUCCUCUGAAUGAUUGCUUUUAGAGAGGCCUGUCAGGGUACCAUGUGUGAUAAGAGGAUGGAGGAAUAAGAGCAUCAUUCACACAAUCAUUGAAAAGGUUAAUCGCAUGUUGAUCAGUUUUGGACAAAAGAAGCCGAAGCAUUGUAACAUGACAAGUAGGUCACUUUGGAACAGCACAAAUUUUCGUAUCUGAAAGAGCUUCAUCACUGCUGAGGCGUCCUUGAAAUUCCAAGCCCCGAGAGACAAGAUGAACCGAGAGAUUGAACCACACACACUGCCGUAGCAUUAGGGGGGAGAAUAGAGCAGCUCGAACGAAGGAGGAAAUCUUUUCAAAUCAUCUGAAGUAAUUACCGAUUUUUUAAUGUGAUUUUUAAUGUGUUCAUGUGAUAAUGUUCCGCUUAAACAGGAAAAAAGUUUUUCAUUUCGUGAGGAAGAUUCCUUCGGCUUGGCCACACAGAAUAACUUGUGCAGGUGAAUCGCAAGAACAUCAAAGGGGACGGUUUCAAACUCCAAUGGCUCAUUGUAAACCUCUGUAUGCCACUCUGAAAUUAAAGAUAUCCUUCAUA
rnacentral:sRNA from 1 species